GAAAGAAUGAAAAGGUGAGCAAGGGAUAAAGAGGACAAAGGAAAGAUUUCAGUAUAAACUUCUACUGGGAAGAAGAACUGUCUUGUGGUGGUGAUGUCCUCCUCUUUGUAUUGACUAUAAAUGGAGCCCUGAGAAGUGGCAGCUAAAGCUGGGAUGUUAUCCCAUGACACUCUCUCAUGCAGAUCCCUGCAGAGGCUGUAAUCUGCCCUCCUGAAGUCAAGGGUAGACUCUAAAAUGCCAACAGCUGCAAGUAAGAAACUGGAUUUCCUUCUAAAAACAUACAUAAAAAUACUUUUUGGAGCACAGUGAAGAGAAGACACCGUCCAAUUCAGUACUGGCAAGAAGGAAUGCUGGAUGUGAUAACACACUUGUCAGACCGUGAAAUUCUCUAAGCCUACUCCAAGUAUUCCUUGAGCAAUCAUCAGUGCCCAACUAUACAAUUUUCACUAUCAGCAUCAUCCAUUCCCAGCAACAGACACUCAGUCUUGUCUUUAACUAUAUUUUCACAGUGCAACCUGGCUGCAUUCUUCUAAAAGCACUUAGUCUUUCCAAACAAACACCCUGUACCCAGCACACCAUGCAUCACAAGCAGCUAAGACACAAAAUGAAAAGCAAAGCAGGUAGCAUACAAAAAGUUUAAGAAGAGAUUCAGACAAGAAAAGAAGGACAGACAGCAAGUAGUCUUUUUCUUUCUUCCCAUCUUCUAAUUUAAGCCAUCAGGGUACUGAUGAGCCUUUUUAAGUGACAAUCAGCUAACCUUAUUCAGCAGAAUAAGGAUGCUUGUGAGAGGCACCGGCUAUAACCUGUUGCGGUUGCUGACCCCUUUCAGUGACUAUCCAGGUGGGAAGCUUGAGAAUGCCACAGGGAAAAGCGAGAAAAAAUGCAAAAAGGAGCAGCUGCCAAAGAGAACACUGAUGGAAAGGUCAAGAAGUGGACCAGGAGAGUAUCACUGAGUAAAGUAGUUGAGACUUGCCAAGAAAGAUACUGUUAAAAGAUGCUCCUAGUUCCAGGAACACUAAAGGAGCAAAGAUGCUUUACAACUACUUGAGUAUUUCAGAAGAUAGAAAAAUCAAUGCAGAUAACCACUUGAUAGUGUUUGGCCUUUACUAGAAAAUGAGGUUACAUGAACAUAGCAAACAUAACUUUAGCACUAGUAUAAACAAAUAAUCCUUAAUAUGCUGUCAGCUUUUAAGCAUUUUCUUCUUCAACUUGUACCUAUAACAUGUUAACACAGUAUUAUGGUGCCUGCCAUGUCUCCACAGAUUGACAAGUUAUUAUUUGAUUGUUACUUAAUAUGAUUCUUCAGUGAGGUGUCUGGGAGCAGAAAAAAUGGACGUUAUACCAGAGCAAAGAGAAGUGUGCAAGCCAUUGAGAAACAGGGACAAAGAUGGAAUACAGUGAAGGAUUAACAUCGAGCAGAGUAUCCCGCUGCCCCCAGUCCUUUGGUCCCUAUGCUGUUUGUUUAUAUGAAGACAACUUCUAUCCCCACAGGCCUCACGCAGAAGUGCAUUUAAUUCUGCGCUACUCAGGUCAAUCAGACGGUUCACAUGCUUUCAAAGAGACAAAUGUUUUGCUACACAUGGGGCCCUCGAUCUCAUCUCACUGAACUAGAUAGCAACAUCAGGUGUGUUAACCAUCACACCGAGAGAAAGCAUACACUCUUGGGCUGGGGAAGCAACAUCCAAACCUAAAUAUAACAAAACCAUUAACACAUCCUUACUGCAAAUGCAGUCUUGGUGGCUAUUUAAUACUGUUACACCUGUAUUUGCUUUUAAUAUUACUAUAGAGCACACAAUGAUUUUCAUUGUCUUUCAUUAAAAGGAAUCUAAACUAACCCUUUCUAAACUCACAGCAAUAUGCUAGGGGAAAAAAAGAGUCAACACAUUAUGCCGUUUAUAUGCUAGGAAAUAAAAAAAAGCAAUUGAUUUGUCUCCGUUAAUACAGAUAUGAGGGGCAAAGUCUAAUGAAACAAAUGUACUAGGACUAAGAUGUGGCCAAAUACUGUACAGUUCUUUCCUGAAUUCUGAAUGAAUCCAAUUAGUAGAUAAAAGGGAUAGCAUUUAAUGAAAAUAAAUUUGUUCAUCUAGAGUCCUAAUCAAAACCUGCAAUGCUUAUAAUCUUUACAAUUAGUACUAGUACAAACACAGAAGACACCAUUGAUGAGAUUGCUGAAAAAAGGGGCAGUAUGUAGAUAGAGGCACCACAACGUGCUUGCCCUGUUCUUAUAUUCUUCCUGAAGCCUAAACACCCUGAGUAGGGUCAGGGUGGUGUGGUAGGCGGAUCUUUGGCCUGAUCUCAUCCCAUCCAGUCAUUCUUAUGUUGUCUCCAUAGUUUAAUAAUAGAUUGUGAACAUAACUACAGCCUCCCAGAAAUAGCUUCAUUCUGUCAUUAAAUUUAAGGUAACAUAUUUUUAUUCAAGUCAGACAAAAAAAAGAAGUGAGGGUUUAGUCACAUACUAUGGGUCAGCUAGUGUGUAAUUACUUGAUUACAUAUCGGGGCCUUCACUUUAAACAGGGAGUAUUCCACCACAUUCUGUGGAUUUCUAUGAACUGAAGACCUUGUUGAACUGGGAUCUCAAUUACUGAAGUAGUAAGAAAGAAAAACAACCUUUUUCCUACUUAAUUAGUUGGGAAAACAAGUUAUGUCCUCCAAAUUAUGGGGAAGUAGCUGUACACUUGAAUGACAGAUGAACUGUUUUCCAACAUGCAUUUUUUUUCUUUAUGCAUUUUAAACAAAAUGUUCAACAGCAAAGUAAAUGACAUACUGUAUCCUGAUGGAAAAUGCAAAAAUACCAUUAAAAGAUGAGCUUCUGGGAUUCUGAGAUCCUACUGCUACACAGCCUAAUACUUUUGGAAAUGGUAAACUGCAGAAACAGUUUGAAAUUAGUUAACACAUAUUCACUGCAACAAAGAACUGGAGUACAAAUAAUUCUCCUAGUCACCAUGAAAAACAUGACAAAAAAUGCUGCAGACAACGUGAAAUAGGUGAAGUAACAUGGCUACUUUUUCACCUGUUAUAUUUUUAAAGUCAUCACUUAGGGAAACCUGAAUACAAUAAACAACCACGUGAAGCAAACAAGAACAAUUCAACUGAUUCUUCUUUUAGUUUAUUAUUUUGUUCGUCUUUUUUUGCUUUGUUUACAAUGAUCGAUACUUCAGAGUAGCUCUCUGCUCAAAGAUGUGGAAUGGAAUGCAAGUAUUCUCAGUUCAACAGCUCCUCUCUCCUCCUCCCCUCAUUAUUUUUUUGAACAGUCUGCCCCUUGUCCCAAAUUCAUCAUGAUUUCUGGAGAGGAAAACAUCUUGCACCACUUGGAUGCUGCACAACUCUUUCCUUUGCAGACAAAAAUAAUACCAAAGUCAUCCAGUCAAAACACAAACCAACCUUUGGUGUCACUGUGAAUUAUGUACUUUGAACUGCAGAUGUUUGGAAGCACUUAUAUUUAUAUAGAUAGAUUUUAUCCUUUUUCUUUUAAAAUUAUAAUUUUAAAGAAAUAAAGAAAUAAAUUAGUUUCCACAUAAGAAGGAUUUUUCUAUUAAAUUAUAAUUUUGAAUUAAGGCUUUCUAAUCUCUGAAAGAAAAUACUUUUCUUCAAAGUUCUGGCAAACCACUAACAAAUGUGUUUAAAUGAUUAUUUAUACAAUGCCCAGCAGCUUAGAACUACUGGGAUUUCAAGAAAGAGAAGUGCUGUUGUAGAGCUUAGGCCUCAGAAACCUAUGUAUCUUUUAAAAUGUAUAUUAUAUUAGGAAGAGAAACACUUAAAUGUAAAUAAGUUUUGUUUUUGUUUUUGUUUUUUUUUUUUUAAGCAGUGCAAUGGUGUCUUGCUCCAUCAGAAGCCACAAAAAGAAAUGCAUCAAAAUACAAAUGAAACAUUUUUGUGUUCCUUGUCACUAUGUGCCAGUUGGAACCUGCAGCAUUAAGGCAGAUAAUAUGCUGUAUAUACAUGACUUAGUUUCCUCCUACCAUUCCUUUCCCUUUCUGUUUCUGAACUCUUCAAAAUGCAGCAAAACAGGCUUUCAUUUAUUUUCAUUUGAACAGUUAAAGGAACUGUAAGUGCACAGAAAGACAUUCCGAAUGUUCAGACAAUAAAGUUUAACUGUUUCUACUCUUCCGAGUUAACAGUACUUACGUGUGCAGCUAGUCAACAGCACGGAGUAGCCCUUUGAUACUCACCCACCCAAUUCCAUUCUCUAUAUGUUCUUACACUGCCUUUCAGUGAUGACAUUUCAAAGACCACAACAAGCUUGAUCUGCUUUUCAAAGAGCUCUGCACAGGCAGACUUGGGAAAUCAAUGAUGAUCAUUAUAAAAAAAUGUGCAAGAAGAAAAAGGAAAAUGUGAUGUUCUCGAGCUAUAUGGGGUCAUUCACACAGGGCUCCUGCGCUGGCUGUGCCACUGGACCACUACAGCUCUGCUAACAGCUGCUGACAGACCCCUGAUCUGCAGGAGGAAAACAGGAUCUGAGGAGCUGCUGAAGCCAUGUAGCUGGGUCAUCUUCAGUUUCCUGUAUCCACUGCAUAUAAGUUAGAAACGUUACCUCACCUCUGAUCCAUUCUUUAUAGUAGUUUCUAAGCAGAACAUAAACCCAGUAACUUGGAGAUAAACAUGUAUUCGUGAGGUUGUACUGGGUCUGAAAUUAAAUAAAAAUGCAUUCGACUAACCUAGAGUGAUUUUUUUCCUAAUUGCCUGUCAUAUAUAAA